GAAGGCAGGUCUCUGGGCCACUACUGACGCUGAGAAGCGAAAGCGUGGGGAGCGAACAGGAUUAGAUACCCUGGUAGUCCACGCCGUAAACGUUGGGCGCUAGGUGUGGGUCCCAUUCCACGGGGUCCGUGCCGCAGCUAACGCAUUAAGCGCCCCGCCUGGGGAGUACGGCCGCAAGGCUAAAACUCAAAGGAAUUGACGGGGGCCCGCACAAGCGGCGGAGCAUGCGGAUUAAUUCGAUGCAACGCGAAGAACCUUACCAAGGCUUGACAUGUACCGGAAACCCUCAGAGAUGGGGGCCCCGCAAGGUCGGUACACAGGUGGUGCAUGGUUGUCGUCAGCUCGUGUCGUGAGAUGUUGGGUUAAGUCCCGCAACGAGCGCAACCCUCGUUCUAUGUUGCCAGCACGUGAUGGUGGGGACUCAUAGGAGACUGCCGGGGUCAACUCGGAGGAAGGUGGGGAUGACGUCAAAUCAUCAUGCCCCUUACGUCUUGGGCUUCACGCAUGCUACAAUGGCCGGUACAGAGGGCUGCGAUACCGCGAGGUGGAGCGAAUCCCUUAAAGCCGGUCUCAGUUCGGAUUGGGGUCUGCAACUCGACCCCAUGAAGUCGGAGUCGCUAGUAAUCGCAGAUCAGCAACGCUGCGGUGAAUACGUUCCCGGGCCUUGUACACACCGCCCGUCAAGUCACGAAAGUCGGUAACACCCGAAGCCG
rnacentral:rRNA from 1 species